rnacentral:piRNA from 6 species
GUGGUUCAGUGGUAGAAUUCUCGC